ACAGACAGAGAGCUCUUUUCUCUCCGUAUGCUAAAACACCGAAUUCUCUCUCCCUCCCUCUCCCUCUCCCUCCUUCCCCUCCGUCUCUGAGCUCGGAUCACCUGGAUCGCUAGGUUUGUCCAACUGUGAUCUCGGCCGGAGCUCUGCGAAAAUGCCUCUCAGACUGGAAAUCAAGAGAAAACUCGCUCAAAGAUCAGAGAGAGUAAAAUCUGUGGAUCUGCAUCCAACAGAACCAUGGAUUUUGGCAAGUUUAUAUUCAGGAACUGUGUGUAUUUGGAACUACCAGACGCAGGCCAUGGCUAAGUCUUUUGAGGUCACAGAGUUACCAGUUAGGUCAGCCAAAUUUAUUGCUCGCAAGCAAUGGGUUGUUGCCGGAGCUGAUGACAUGUUCAUUCGUGUAUACAAUUACAAUACAAUGGAUAAGGUUAAAGUAUUUGAGGCACAUACUGACUACAUUAGAUGUGUGGCUGUCCAUCCUACACUCUCAUAUGUGCUAUCAUCAUCUGAUGACAUGCUUAUCAAGCUCUGGGAUUGGGACAAGGGUUGGGUUUGUACUCAGAUAUUUGAAGGACACUCCCAUUAUGUGAUGCAAGUGACAUUUAAUCCGAAAGAUACCAACACAUUUGCAAGUGCAUCUCUUGAUCGCACCAUAAAGAUAUGGAAUCUAGGCUCCCCAGACCCAAAUUUUACAUUGGAUGCCCAUCAGAAAGGAGUUAAUUGUGUCGAUUACUUUACGGGUGGUGAUAAGCCUUAUCUAAUUACUGGAUCUGAUGAUCACACUGCUAAGGUGUGGGACUAUCAAACCAAAAGUUGUGUCCAGACACUUGAUGGCCAUACACACAAUGUUUCUGCUGUAUGUUUCCAUCCUGAGCUUCCUAUAAUAAUAACAGGGUCUGAGGAUGGAACAGUUCGAAUAUGGCAUUCAACCACUUACAGGCUUGAGAAUACAUUGAAUUAUGGGCUUGAAAGAGUUUGGGCUAUUGGAUACAUGAAGAGCUCAAGGCGGGUUGUAAUUGGUUAUGAUGAAGGAACAAUUAUGGUAAAACUGGGCCGUGAAGUACCUGUUGCAAGUAUGGACAAUAGUGGAAAGAUCAUUUGGGCUAAGCAUAAUGAAAUUCAAACUGUGAACAUUAAGAGUGUGGGAGCUGAUUUCGAGGUUACUGAUGGAGAGAGAUUGCCUUUGGCUGUUAAGGAGUUGGGUACAUGUGAUCUUUACCCUCAGAGCUUAAGGCAUAAUCCCAAUGGGAGGUUUGUUGUUGUUUGUGGAGAUGGAGAGUACAUUAUAUAUACUGCUUUGGCCUGGAGAAAUCGUUCAUUUGGUUCAGCUUUGGAAUUUGCUUGGUCAACUGAUGGAGAAUAUGCUGUUAGAGAGAGUACUUCAAAGAUUAAGAUUUUCACUAAAAACUUCCAGGAGAAGAGGAGUAUUCGACCUACGUUUUCGGCUGAACAUAUUUACGGGGGAACUUUACUGGCAAUGUGCUCAAAUGAUUUUAUUUGCUUUUAUGAUUGGGCUGAAUGCAGGUUAAUUCGCCGAAUUGAUGUAACUGUUAAAAAUCUCUAUUGGGCUGAUAGUGGUGAUUUAGUGGCUAUUGCCAGUGAUACAUCAUUCUACAUCUUGAAAUACAAUCGGGACGUAGUCUCUUCUUACUUAGAUAGCGGAAGACCUGUAGAUGAACAAGGUGUUGAAGAUGCUUUUGAGCUUCUUCAUGAAAUGAAUGAACGUGUCAGGACUGGUUUAUGGGUUGGGGAUUGUUUCAUUUACAACAACUCCUCUUGGAGGCUUAAUUACUGUGUUGGUGGCGAGGUAACCACAAUGUUUCAUUUAGACCGACCAAUGUACUUGUUGGGUUAUCUUGCCAAUCAAAGUCGGGUGUUUCUGAUAGACAAAGAGUUCAAUGUAAUAGGAUACACACUACUUCUAAGUUUGAUUGAAUAUAAGACUCUUGUAAUGCGUGGAGACAUUGAAAGGGCCAAUGAAGUUUUGCCUUCAAUUCCUAAAGAGCACCAUAACAGUGUGGCUCGUUUCUUGGAAACACGAGGUAUGAUAGAGGAAGCUCUGGAAGUGGCUACCGAUCCUGAUUACAGAUUUGAACUAGCCAUACAGCUUGGUAGAUUAGAAAUUGCGAAGGAAAUUGCCACUGAGGUGCAAAGUGAGUCUAAAUGGAAGCAGUUAGGUGAAUUGGCUAUGUCUGCUGGAAAGUUAGACAUGGCCGAGGAAUGUUUAAAGUAUGCCAUGGACUUGAGUGGAUUAUUAUUGCUCUAUUCUUCUCUUGGAGAUGUUGAAGGAAUAUCAAAACUUGCAUCCCUUGCUAAAGAACAAGGGAAGAAUAAUGUUGCGUACCUUUGUUUAUUCAUGUUGGGUCGAUUGGAAGAGUGCCUUGAGUUACUGGUGGAAAGCAAUCGGAUACCUGAGGCUGCUUUGAUGGCUCGAUCAUAUCUUCCAGGCAAGGUUUCCGAGAUAGUAGCUAUUUGGAGAAAAGACCUGAGCAAGGUUAAUCCAAAAGCUGCUGAGUCUUUGGCUGAUCCUGAAGAAUAUCCCAAUUUGUUCGAUGAUUGGCAAGUUGCCCUUUCUGUGGAAUCAAAAGCUGCAGAGACAAGGGGUGUUUACCCUCCCGCAGAGGAGUACAUAAACCAUGUUGAUAAAGCACACAUCACCCUUGUGGAGGCUUUCAGGAAUAUGCAAUCCGAUGAAGAGGAGCAUCUUGACAAUGGGGAAGCAAAUCAUGGGGUUUCUGAACAGGAUGGUGAAGAAAAUGGGGAACGGGCUGCUGAAGAACAUGAUGGAGAAGAAGGUAGCCAGGAGGAGGCUGUUGUGGUGGAUGCUGAUUCUACGGAUGCUGUACUCAUCAACGGGAACGAGGCUGACGAAGAGUGGGGUACGAAUAAUGAAGGAACCUCGUCAGCCUAAAAAGCUAUUGGUUGGGCCAGUGUGAAAAUCCAAUUUUGUCUCUGUGCUUACACCACGCCACUAGGUCCUUAUGAAGACUGCCGGUCCAGCUGUAUGGAUCCUUUACAGAGGCCUCCCGGAAGAGGCUGGCGAAGAGGUGAUGUAGCAGAUCGGUUGUCUCUUAUACCCGGUGGUGUGGCUUGUAACCGAGUUAUAUUUUGUCAUGGGGCACAAGAUAAGAUUAGUUUCAUAGCUGUAGUUAGUUUACUUUUCCGAUUCCCUUUUUUAACAUAUUCUUUGAGCCCAUCAUAAAGUUUUUCUUGUGCCAUUGUGAAUGUAGAAAAAAUUGAGCUAGGAAUACGUCGACCGCUUCCAUUCAGAUUUUAGAUAUCUGCUUCCCCUUGAGACUUCUUUUUUUCUUUUCCUCCUUUUUUUCUCCUUUUUUGCAUGUUUUCGGAAUUCUUUAAUGUGACUUAUAUUGUAAAACUGUAUUCAUAAGAGUAUAUACAUUGUUAGCAUAUGAUACAACCAACUUCGGCU